rnacentral:lncRNA from 1 species
AUUGAGACUGCUGUUUGUACAGCAAAAAGGUUGUGGAAUAAGAAUGAGCUACUAAGAAACAGGAAACUCUUGAAACCACCCGGUCCCAGCACUGCCUGUGUGGCUACCUGCCCGUGGGUCAGUGGCCCCCCUCCAGCGAUGGAUCCAGAAGCAAGCCCAAGCAGCUACCUAGUUCUCUUGGACUGGGGGCUGUCUCUGGUACUCUCUCUACUGGCAGGAUGCUGCCAACCCAAUGUGCAUGGGUUUAAUUGCAAUGGAGUAAUAGUCCUGGGGAGAUGUCCCUUAACUGUAGCCCUAUCACAAGGUAUCUGCCUGUAGCCCCAUGGUGGAUGUCUGUCUGCAGCCCCAUUGCAGGGUGUCUGGAUUGAUGAGUAUCCUAGGCACUGCCAACGCUGACUUCCUUCUCCUGACUGGUUCUGUAGCCCUGUGGUGGGGUGUCUGUAGCCCCAUUGUGGGGCAUCUGUUUGUGGCUCCACCAUGGGGUCUCUGUGUCUGUAGCCCCACUGAGGGGUGUCUGUUCAGCUCCUGUGAGGGUCUCAGUUGGCUCUUUCUAACUAGUAGGAAGAGUCCUGGUUCGGGAGACUUCUCCUCAAUCAGGAAGAUUUCAAGGAGGUUUCUCAGAUGGAGAAUAGGAGGACAGUUUGGAAGGGAUACUCUCGGAGUUCUUGGUUAGGGAUCUGAUUUGGAAGGCCUUCUGUCCAUCUCAUCUUUGUGUGUGUUUGUACAUGUGAAAGGGAUCUCAGAAGGGGUUGCUGAUGGAAGUCCAGCAGGCCCAACUCAGAGAACCCUCCUUAUUUGUCUGGUCACAUUCAAUGAGCCCUAAAGGAGGCUCAACAAGGUGACUAUCUCUUCUUUGCCUUGCCCAGAGACCCCAACUGUGAAUUACCAUUCGGAGGUCGUCCCUCCCCACCUAGAGUGGAUCAAAGACAACAGGGACCAACGGGAAGAAGUUUGAGCUUUGCUAGGUUGAUUAUGGGUGCUGAACGAGUGGCUUGAAACCCACAUCUAUAGCACAAGCAAGCAGGGGCAUCAGAAGCCACUCCGUUCUUCUGGAAGCUGCAGAGAAAGGGAACCCGGAAACCUGAUAUGCCAGCAAAAAGGGACAAGAACCCGGAACUUGCUGAACCACAGGAGCUAAAGGGCUGUAAUGCUCUUGCUCACCUAGCUAUGGGUGGCAGGAGUAAAAGAGCUGUAACAUUCCCUCCCACUCACUGAGCUAUGGAAGUGAAGAGGCCGCUGGAUGCCACUCCUUUCUGCUCACUGAGCUACAGAAGUGAAGAGGCCACUGGGUGCCACUCCCUCCUGCUUGCUGAACUACAGGAGUGAAAAAUCUGAUGGCCUAAACAACACACAUUUAUUAUCUUACAGCUGUGGAGAUCAGAAGUGUGGAGUCCUGAGAAGGUGAGCAGUUGAAGGCCUGAACAUAAAAAAGACUGACCAACCUUCCUCUACCUAGAAGGAAUUCUGCCGGCAGCCUGUUUCUGGACUCAAACUGCAGCUCUUCCCUGGGUCUCCAGCCUACCCUAUCAGAUUUUAGAAGCACAAAGUCUCCACAAUCAUGUAAGCAAAUUUCUUUUCUUUUCUUUUCUUUAACAGUUUUCACUCUUGUUGCCCAGGCUGAAGUGCAAUGGUGCGGUCUUGGCUCAUAGCAGCCUCCACCUCCUGAGUUUGAGCAAUUCUCCUACCUCAGCCUCCCAAGUAGCUGGGAUUACAGGCACCUGCCACCACACCUGGCUAAUUUUUGUAUUUUUAGUAGAGACGGGGUUUCACCAUGUUGGCCAGGCUGUUCAUGAACUCCUGACAUCAGGUGAUCCACCCACCUUGGCCUCCCAAAGUGCUGGGAUUACAAGGGUGAGCCAUCACACCCAGCCUAACCAAAUUUCUUAAAGUAUAUCUCCAAGUCUGUACAUAGAUACACAUCCUCUUGUUUUUUAUUCUCUGUAGAACCCUGACUAAUAUAGGGCCCUUGUGAUUAUAGUGAGCUCACCCAGAUAAUCCAGAACAAUCUCCCUAUCUCAAGACUCUUCUUUUGGGCUGGGAGUGGUGGCUCAUGCCUGUAAUCCUAGCAAGGCAGGGGCAAGAGGAUCACUUGAGCUCAAGAGUUCAAGACCAGCCUGGGC